UCAAAACAGCGGCCUUCGGGCCUCGCUGCACCCUUGUCUUUUGCGCACCGUAUUGUUUCCUCGGCGGGCUUGCCUGCCGGUUGGACAUCAUAAAACCUUUUUGUAGUUGCAAUCAGCGUCAGAAAACCAAUAAUUAUUA
rnacentral:misc_RNA from 1 species